rnacentral:rRNA from 1 species
UACGUAGGUGGCAAGCGUUGUCCGGAUUUAUUGGGCGUAAAGCGAGCGCAGGCGGUUUCUUAAGUCUGAUGUGAAAGCCCCCGGCUCAACCGGGGAGGGCCAUUGGAAACUGGGAGACUUGAGUGCAGAAGAGGAGAGCGGAAUUCCAUGUGUAGCGGUGAAAUGCGUAGAUAUAUGGAGGAACACCAGUGGCGAAGGCGGCUCUCUGGUCUGUAACUGACGCUGAGGCUCGAAAGCGUGGGGAGCGAACAGGAUUAGAUACCCUGGUAGUCCACGCCGUAAACGAUGAGUGCUAAGUGUUGGAGGGUUUCCGCCCUUCAGUGCUGCAGCAAACGCAUUAAGCACUCCGCCUGGGGAGUACGACCGCAAGGUUGAA